CCAACGACAGAGAUUGUGGUAGGUCAUUCUAAUUAACCAGUGCGACCCAGAGAAAUGUUAAGCACACGCCAAACAGAAAAGUGGGCAAUGCGAUUUCCUGAGGUAGCGUAGUGAUGGCACUGGCGGAAACCGGCGAGAAGCACCUUAUCGAUUCAGAUUUUGAGGGAUCUGGCUGGCAUUCAAAUCGUCUAGAAUACAUCAGGAAUGAUGAAGGUGGAAGGUUGGUUGGUUGUAAGCAUGCAGGAAUGAGAAGCGACAUUGAAGCCUCUGGUUGAAUUGAACAAUGCCAAUAUAUUAUGUAUACGAGCGCUUCAUGCGCUUCAUAAUUUUUCAAGUCUAUCCAUUGAUCGGGGACCUUGUAGCGAUCACUCAAUAAAAAAAGAACAUAGGAUUGGAGGAUAACACGAAAGUAAAAAAUGCUGUAAAAAAU
rnacentral:sRNA from 1 species